CCUACGGGAGGCAGCAGUGGGGAAUAUUGGGCAAUGGGCGCAAGCCUGACCCAGCAACGCCGCGUGAAGGAAGAAGGCUUUCGGGUUGUAAACUUCUUUUCUCAGGGACGAAGCAAGUGACGGUACCUGACGAAUAAGCCACGGCUAACUACGUGCCAGCAGCCGCGGUAAUACGUAGGUGGCAAGCGUUAUCCGGAUUUAUUGGGUGUAAAGGGCGUGGAGGCGGGAGAGCAAGUCAGAGGUGAAAAUUCCGGGCUCAACCCCGGUACUGCGUUUGAAACUGCUUCCCUUGAGUGCUGGAGAGGUAAGCGGAAUGCGGGGUGUAGCGGUGAAAUGCGUAGAUAUAAGGAGGAACACCAGUGGCGAAGGCGGAAUGCUGGAGAGCAACUGACGCUCAUGCGCGAAAGCGUGGGGAGCAAACAGGAUUAGAUACCCUUGUAGUC
rnacentral:rRNA from 1 species